ACACUUGGGUUCAUCUUCAUGAGGUGUAAUGGCGCCGGGAUGCGCUCUCCUCUUCUCAUUUGCCAAUUUAUUGCAGAUCCCUCCUCAAAAAAGUUUUGGGACUAACUCAGCCCCAUGGAGAUCAAGGUGGGUGGGUGACUUCUAGAAGAGGAAAAUCAAGAAGAUUUGGAGAAGGAGUCUUGGAAGCUCUGGUGAAGUUUUCCAAAACUGGGAAGGACAGAGUCUGCUCAGCCUGUGUUAGUGGAGAAGAGGGAAGGAAACUGGCUGGAGGCCGCUGGACCCACAGAGGACAAUAGACAAUCUCCUGCUUGGAAGAAAAAGAAAAUGAGACCCAGAAGACCCAAAUCACAAAUCAAAAGGACCUCACAGAAGAUUCUACAAUUGAGAUUAUUUAUCCUGGCUAAGAAGGAAUCAGUGGCCUUAAGAAGACAAUCUUGAAAAAGGACCUAAGUGAUGGAUGCCCACUGGAUCCAAAGAGAGAAACUCUAUAGAAUUAUGAUCUAGGUUUGACUGACUCCUGGCAAGAAGCCCUACCCGCCAGCCAAUUUGGAUGAGCUCUUAUGCUCCAGAUCCAUCAUGAGAAGAACAUGCCCUGGAUUCCUGCUAUCCCUUUAGCCAUGGCUCCAAAAUUAACACACACAAGGAAGACCUGAGGUCAAUCCACAGCCUGGAUUCAAGUCACCUAAUACAUAGGAGAAUCAGAGCUACCCAGCCACACUCAAUCUACGUUAACUGAACCUCAGCUGACCUGCAGAUUUAUGAGUAUGAGAAUAAAGGCUUGUUAAUGUAUAU
ensembl:lncRNA LINC01980 long intergenic non-protein coding RNA 1980